AAAAAAGACCUUUCAUUUCAUAUUUUAAUUGCUCGAAAAGCUACAUUCUCAGGACUAGCGCUUGAUGAUUACGAUUCACCUUUAGACGGUAAAGACUUCUCUUCUGGCCGACGUAGGCUGCUCUAACCUAAGUCAUGUGCACAUAGAAUAACACGACGUUUAUAAUGCAUCAGACGUUAAGGCUGAGCACUUCACAAGUGUUACCACAUUUGAGGAUUCUUGCAGCAAUCUUUAAAGCACUGGUCCUAUACCUCUUACAGGUGGGAAACUAACACUUCGGGAUGUUGACGAAAUGCACACGUAGCCUACAUGAGUAGUUUUAUUUUUUUUGGAGACAGGGUCUCGCUGUGUAGUUCAGGCUGGCCUUGAACUCGCGGUGAUCCUCCUGCCUCAGCCUCCCGAGUGCUGGGAUUACAGGCGUGGUGCACGCCAGCGGGAGCUAUUUAUUAUUUGAAGUUUUCCACGUUCAUUUUAUAUCCUCUGCCCGAUCUGAUUAAUUCCCUAAAAAACAAGACUGGAACCAAGGCUCUGGGACCAGGGACAGAAAACCAUGCAGAAAGAGGCUGGGAAAGGGAGGCCCCGCCAGCUGCCGUGCCACCUUAAGAAGCCUCGCCCUCCCCGCGCGGAGCAGGGGUGGCUCCUCCCACCCCCGUGUCAGCCGCGGCCCCGAACGUGGAGCUGGGAGGGGAGGCGCGCUGAAUGGAAAGACUGGGGCCGGCGCGGAGGGUCUCGGUAGCCGCGCGCUGCCGGCUGGGCGGCGGUGGGCGAAGCUCCAGCCUCGGGCCUGGGUCCUUCUGGGGGACUUAAGGGAUGGGGAUGAUGAGCUCCCCUGAAAUGUCUGUGGGGUGGAAUGUGAGCCCUGGGCCCAUCUGAGGCCUGGGCCCCAUCUUGGGGCGGGGUCGAGGUGGGGCAGAGCUGGCUGGCCCCGAGCGAUAUUCGGGAAGGGAUACAACGACAACCAGGAGAAAGUUGCAACUUCGCUGGUUCCGGAGGCACCUCUUCAAAUCCUGUCCAAACGAGGGGCAAGUUUUCCAUUCCCCGCCCCGAUGCCCCCACCUUCAUUUUAACUGGCUGUGCUUAGCGGUGGGCUGGGCCCAACCUUGCUCUCUGAUUGGUUGCUUAGGUCAUCCAUCACAGGGUUACGCAGGCGAGAGUGGCCAUUUGGGAGGAAGUGAAGAUUAUUUUGGUACCCCCUACCCCAGCUGAUGAUUGGCUAAGGAUGACAGUGACGUAAAACCGGACCGAAAGAUGGUCACUAAAGGGACAGGCCUAUUGGCCACGCUCAGGGACGAAGUCUAGGGUGGGACGGGGAGAGCCAGCCGGGCUGUGUUAUUGUCAGGAAGGACUACAUCGAUUGAAACCCGGAAAUGAGUGUAAUGGGAGCUGCAGGAAAACGGGGGAAAUCCGCGGCACCUUUGGAUCCCCUACGCCAGGUCAUUUCCUGAAAGGGAUCGGUGGUUUCCUGUUUACUCCGCCCAGGGCGCUCUGGCCCUCUGGAGCCGACUUAGAUUCUCGGGAACCUUUGGUCCUGACUUCCCGUUUCCAGUGCCAGCUAAGGGAGGAGACCACUGAAGUCGCCACCACCCACCAAAGAGUGAGUGAAGUCGCUGGACGGCUGCGACUGCUGCAGAACACACUGGCUGCCCAUCACCUGGAUUCCAGAGCUGCUGCUCAUGACUCCACCUCAGCACGUGGACCUCAUGCCCGGGCACUGGCAGCUGCUGCAGACCAAGGCCAAGGUCUCUGGUGACCACAGGGCAAUGUCCACUUUGGUGUUGGACAGGAUGCCUCCUGGUGCUCCUGGCUGUGGCUGAGGAACAAGUGACUUGCUACAUGGACUGGAUUAUCAGAUUUAAAUGACAUGUGGUCUCCAGCAUUUGGGGCUAUGGCCCAGAAGAGAUCAUCCCCCGUGAGUUUUCUACAGUGUGUGGCCCUGGUAAAACUUCAGGGAAGUUGAUACCUCCGCAGGUGUGUUUGCAUGGAUUUUAAGAAGUCAUGGCGUCACAUAACCUCUAUCCGAGAGUUUCUGAAUUUUCCCGACAGUGAUGAAUGGAAACCAACAUGUUGGAAAAGGGAAAGUCUGAAGAGAAUUCGCAGAUUUGCUUUCUGUCUCACAACAUUUCGCGUCUUUCUCUAGGUUGCACACUUUCACCCUGAGGAUGUGGUCCAGGAGCAGUUGAUGGGCUUCUCCUUAUGGAUCAUAAACAUGAACUCCAUGAUUGAAGUGAGGUCUGACACCUGGAAUAUUUUACCAAUGAAGCCCAGCUGGGAAGACUCUAGAAUCAUCCAUUCCUCAGAAGAAAGUUGAAGUGCAAGGUUUUUGACAGUAUUGAGAUAAUUCUUUUUGACAAUGAUAGCGUCUUCGAGCUGAAUGUAAAACACGCCCUUUUCCUGAUAAUCAGUAUCUGUCUCCUGUGAAGACUACUAUAACAGUCCUCCUUCUCUUCGGGGUACAAAUUAUCAAUAAGGGAAUGGAGGGUUUCUAUGAGAUCAGAAGUAAUCUCUCUCUUCCCUUGAGAAUUCCCAUUACUACUGAAACUCUGGUUCUCCCACUGCUGACCUGCACAGCAAGCUGAGACCUUCCUUCAUUUCGCAGUAAGUCAGGCAAAUGAUCAUAAAUACUUGCCACUUGAAGGAGACAUGUUUUGCUUGUUAACUCCAGUAGCUGUAGGGUUAUAUCUGAAAAUCUAUUCGAGGGCCGGGGAUUUAGCUCAGUGGUUCCUCUGCCUGCCUCGCAAGCGGAAGGACCUGAGUUCGAUCCCCGGUACCAAAAAAAAAAAAAAAAAAUCUAUUCGAUGCAUCCUUACUUCCAUUUGUUUCUGCACCUACACGCCAGAACUAUUGUACAACAAUACUUCACUCGGAAGAGAGCUGGGAGAUUCUGUGUCCAGCUAUUCCAAGGCAUUAUUUUAAAGCAAGGAAUUCUCAUUGAUAAGCAAUUAGUUCUUCUUUCCCAUUUUGCCACAUAGCAUUCCAUGAUAAAGUAAGGAACGAAGUGACAGAUGCUAAACCAAUGGCCUGCAUCACACUGGGUCAGAGGUUUGUGAUGACAACCGGGACUGUUUUCUCUUUACCCGGAAGUCAGCAGUAUCCAGUACUCCUGGCUCUCAACCAAUAAGCACAGUCAAUGAGAGGUUCCUUUCAGAUGCUUACAGACAUACCAUUCCCGGUCGCCCCUCAGGAUUGUCUUCGCAGCCUUCAAACACCCAUGUCUCCGGAUAUUUUCCUCCACUGAGCAGUAGAAAUCCCCACUGGCAACAAAAGAUCACAAGAGCUUAGUGAUUUUUAAUCAUUUUUAAUAAAAACGACGACCGCCAUGGCAUCUUGCUCCCCAUGGGCUGGGUCCAUUAUGUGGUUUAAACCUUCACCAAACCCUAUGAGGCCAGCAUUACUAAUAUCAUUUUACACACCCUCAACCUCCUGAGGGCUGGGAUUGCAGGUGUGUGCCACCAUACAAGGCCUUUUUUUUUCUCCUAGACAUAGUCUCACUCAGUUGCCCAGACUGGGCUUAAACUUGUGAUCCUUCUCUCUCAUCCUCCCACCGUGCCUGGACUACAGGACUACUGGUGUGCAUGAGCACACCAGCCUCACUGAAAUUACUGAGCCUCUUCUGUGUGCCAGCCUUCGAGUGAGAUACUUCACAGCCUCAGUCCCUGCCAGGGAACACCCCAGGGCCCCAGCCUACUGUGGAUUUAUCACAAAGGUCCAGCUCCAGGGAAACUGAGACAGUUGUGGCCCUGCCCUAUCCACAGGAGUCUCAAGAGGCUGUGAAGAUCCUCCUAACUCGAGGUCUAGAGGCAAGCUUCUGCCCCAGCUUUCUUCAAAGGUGAAGAUCCUCCUAACUCGAGGUCUAGAGGCAAGCUUCUGCCCCAGCUUUCUUCAAAGGUAGAUGCUGUACAUUGGCCUCCCUACAGUUAGCCUGGGGUUAAGGAAAACUCCCAAGCAAUGACUUUUCCUUUAUGCUGCCUCCUAGGUUAUGAACUGCAGGGCAGAGCGAUGUUUCGGGUCUCCAUAGUGCCUACUAGUGCCUUAAUAGAGUGGUUAUAAAAUGAAUGAUGUGGAAUUUAUUUUUUUGAGACAGGAUCUUGCUAUAUAGCUCAGGCAGGCCUUGAACACACUAAGUAGAUCAGGCUGGCCUUAAACUCUUAGAAAUCCUGUCUCCGCCUCCCAUGUGCUGGAAUUACAGGUAUGUACCACCAUGCUUUGCUACGUAUAUUUAGUUAAAUUGGGGUGUUUCCAGGCAUGGUACUGCACACCUGUGAUCCUAGCAUUCUGGAGGCUGAGGCAGGAGGAUUGCUGAGAGAUCCAGGCCAGCCUGGACUACACAGAAAGACCCUGUCUCAAAAUACAAAAAGAAUAAAUAAAUAAAGAUGUUGC
rnacentral:lncRNA from 1 species